AAGGAUUCAAUCUCAAAAGGUACUCAAGGUAUUAAGGAGAAGCUACUUGCACGUAAUAAUUCAGUUAAGGACUUGAGCAAAGGAGUUCAGCGCGAGAUGAGUGCUGGAAUUGCACGAAUGAUUGAACGGUUAGAUCUCACAUCAAAACGUACUGGAGCAUCGGAUAUGGAUGGUUUCACAACAAAGGAGGGACAUCGAAUAAUUUCUCCUCGAAAGGAAAGGAUGUGCUGGAAGACAUGAUUGCUCAGACACCUAAUGAAACAACAGAAGACGUUGAAAAUGUUUUGACCUCAGGCUCACCUUCACAUAUGUCUGGCACUUUAGGUAACCACCUGCAAGUUUCUAAUGCGUAGGGAGGCCAUUGCUGCUGUGUUAGAUCUGCAGUUACUUGGGUAACUCUGUGUAUUGCGCAAGUGACGUGCUGGAAAACACCAAUGUCAGUUGGUUUGCGUCCUGCAUCAUAGCGUGAUGGUAUGCCAAUCAAGGAAGGGUUGUCACUAUAAAUUACUGGAAAAUAUUGGGGGCAGAUCCUGAAGGAAAAGAAGGCCAAAUUAUCAGUACGGCUGCAACCUUGAGGGGGAAAUUCAACACAAUGACUAUAUCUUAACUUAUUCGUAAAAAUAUAUCAAUAAAAUUUAUUCCGUCUGAAGAGAGAAAAAAAAAACUUUGGGAUGACAUCGCCAGGGAAUCACAGUAUUAGCAUAUGAAACGCUGGAGACACUCUUCAUUCAUCUCUUAUUCAGCUAGAUAGCUUUGUGGUUUGACAAAA